rnacentral:rRNA from 1 species
GGGGGGGGGGGGGGGGGGGGGGGGGGGGGGCGGGGGGGGGGGGGGGGGCCGGCGGUGGGGGGGUGGUGGGGUGGCGGGCGGGGGGGUAGGCCGGGGGGGACCUGGCCUUGGCGGUGGGGUAACUUCCGGACACUGGGGCUAGUGCCGGGUAGGGGCUCCUGCUGCAUGGUGGUGGUUGGCAAGUUUCGGUGGUGGGGGAUGGCCUUGAGGCUUAUCAGCUUGUUGGUGGGGUAGUGGCUUACCAAGGCUUUGACGGGUAGCCGGCCUGAGAGGGUGACCGGCCACAUUGGGACUGAGAUCCGGCCCAGACUCCUACGGGAGGCAGCAGUGGGGAAUAUUGCACAAUGGGCGGAAGCCUGAUGCAGCAACGCCGCGUGCGGGAUGACGGCCUUCGGGUUGUAAACCGCUUUCGCCUGUGACGAAGCGUGAGUGACGGUAAUGGGUAAAGAAGCACCGGCUAACUACGUG